GGAGAGGUGCUAGAGCGGUUGAAUAGGCUGGUCUCGAAAACCAGUGUGCCUUUUGGGUACCGUGGGUUCGAAUCCCACCCUCUCCGCCA
rnacentral:tRNA from 2 species